AGCGAACGCUGGCGGCAGGCUUAACACAUGCAAGUCGAGCGGGCACUUUCGGGUGUCAGCGGCGGACGGGUGAGUAACGCGUGGUAACGUGCCCUCUGGUUCGGAAUAACUCAGGGAAACUUGAGCUAAUACCGGAUACGCCCUUUUGGGGAAAGGCUUGCUGCCGGAGGAUCGGCCCGCGUCUGAUUAGCUAGUUGGUGAGGUAACGGCUCACCAAGGCGACGAUCCGUAGCUGGUCUGAGAGGAUGAUCAGCCACACUGGGACUGAGACACGGCCCAGACUCCUACGGGAGGCAGCAGUGGGGAAUAUUGGACAAUGGGCGCAAGCCUGAUCCAGCCAUGCCGCGUGAGUGAUGAAGGCCUUAGGGUUGUAAAGCUCUUUUAUCCGGGACGAUAAUGACGGUACCGGAGGAACAAGCCCCGGCUAACUUCGUG
rnacentral:rRNA from 1 species